rnacentral:RNase_P_RNA from 1 species
UCAGUCGGUCGGGCAGCCGCGCUUGUCAUAUGUCGAAAGACGGCAGGUGAGGAAAGUCCGGGCUCCAUGGAAACACGAUGCCGGGUAACGCCCGGCGGGGGCGACCCCAGGGACAGUGCCACAGAAAGCAGACCGCCCCGUCUUCCGUACCGCUUGUCAAAGCGGCAGGGAUGACGGGGUAAGGGUGAAAGGGUGGGGUAAGAGCCCACCGCGCCGGUGGCAACACAGGCGGCACGGUAAACCCCAUCGGGAGCAAAACCGAAUAGGGACGGCGUACCGGUUCGCAAGGAUCGGUAAUCAGUUUCCGGAUCAGCCGUCCGGGUGGGUUGCAAGAGGCGGGUGGCAACAUCCGUCCCAGAUGAAUGGCUGCCACGUUGGACGCAAGUCCGGCCAUACAAAACCCGGCUUAUAGACCGACUGACAUU